CUUGUGGUUAAAUAUAAAUCUCUGGGUUGGUUUUGUUGUUUUACUAUGAAAUGUGAAGUACACCAGUCUCCAACUCUUGUCUGAGCCACAAAGGAGCGUCAUCAAAGCAUUAUUUCAGGUUCCCUGAGUACGUUCUUCCGGAGCUUGAAUUGUGUUCCAUCAAUAUUUCUACUGCUCUUGAUCAAGACAAGGAAACCACCUCAAAAUACAACUGGAAGGCACUUUAAGAAAUUGUUCUCUCAUGUUUUCUUUCAAGACAUAAAUCUUGACAAAAAAUGAUCAACGAAUGGCAACAAUAGCAAUGAAGCCAACACGGCUACCACGGGCUCUUCACCUUGUUCCUAUCUACAGGAUUUAAUCCAUUGACACACAUUGGAAGAAAAAGAAAUUUCCGCAUCAACUCGGUUGGUGUUUUGAAAAUCUGAAUGCCAAUAAAUAGAAAAUUAAAUCACUAAGAAUUUUUAUGUAGGCAAUGUAUAAAGACAAUCUAGCUGGACAUUUACAUAAAAUAAAUAUCAAACCUUUUCCAUUUUAUUUAGCAUUUGACAAUCACUUCAAAAAUUUCAGCUGGCAGUGUUCCUGUAAUUACUAAGUAUUCUGCAAUAAAAGUUGUAAUUCUGGGAAGAAUAGGUGAUGAUAAUAUUUAAUAAUGCAAUUUUAUCCUUAAAUGCAAACACACUUUUGUUUUAAACAUGGACCACUUGACAAAUUUUCAUAAUACAUGCAUCAGAUAUAUUACAAUGCAUUUUGGAAAACGGCCAAGCAGUGAUACAUUUAGGACUUAAAAAUUAAAAAGUCAAUUAGUUCUGAAAAUGUGACUGCAAAGCAAAUCUUCCACAUGUGGGGAGACAAGGGCCUCUCUAACAAAAACAGGUCUUGGAAUUAGCAAAUU
rnacentral:lncRNA from 1 species